rnacentral:rRNA from 1 species
UACAGAGGUCUCAAGCGUUGUUCGGAUUCAUUGGGCGUAAAGGGUGCGUAGGUGGCGCCGUAAGUCAGGUGUGAAAUUUCGGAGCUUAACUCCGAAACUGCAUUUGAUACUGCGGUGCUUGAGGACUGGAGAGGAGACUGGAAUUUACGGUGUAGUAGUGAAAUGCGUAGAGAUCGUAAGGAAGACCAGUGGCGAAGGCGGGUCUCUGGACAGUUCCUGACACUGAGGCACGAAGGCCAGGGGAGCAAACGGG